rnacentral:rRNA from 1 species
AAUCAACGCUGGCGGCGUGCCUCAGACAUGCAAGUCGAACGCGAAAGUCCCCUUCGGGGGAGUGAUUAGAGUGGCGCACGGGUGAGUAACACGUAGGUAAUCUACCUUCGAGUGGGGAAGUAACUCAGGGAAACUUGAGCUAAUACCGCAUAAUGCAGCGGCACCACAUGGUGACAGUUGUUAAAGCAUUUAUGCGUUUGAAGAGGAGCCUGCGGCAGAUUAGCUAGUUGGUAAGGUAAUGGCUUACCAAGGCUACGAUCUGUAACCGGCCUGAGAGGGCGGACGGUCACACUGACACUGAAUAACGGGUCAGACU